rnacentral:lncRNA from 10 species
AGUGCCGUGGCACAAUCUUGGCUCACUGCAACCUCUGUCUCCUGGGUUCAAGCGAUUCUUCUGCCUCAGCCACUCUAGUAGCUGGGAUUACAGGUGCGCACCACCACACCCAUCUAGUUUUUAUAUUUUUAGUAGAGACGGGGUUUCUCCAUGUUGGCCAGGCUGGUCUCAAACUCCUGACCUCAGGCAGUCCACCCACCUUGGCCUCCCAAAGUGCUGGGAUUA